AAAUAACUCUCAAUGGCCUAAAAUAUGUCAAUUUAAAUCUAAUAACUUUUGUAAAAAUGUCCCUAAUCUCUGUGGGACCUUGAGAAUCAGAUAUUCUCUAGUCGACCUUUAUCUUCCCAAAUUAUGUUAUAUAGCAAAUUCAAGCCGCAGGCUAGAGAUUAGUAUAUUAAGUUAUAUUCUGCUUUUUUUAAGAAGAAACUGUCGUACUGAGCUAGGCUCUAUCACGACCUGUUAUAUUAGUUAUUAAUCGGCCUGUUCAUUUGUAUAAAUUAGCCAAAUACACUGACGUCAUCCGAGGUCAUCAAGAUGGCAGCGUUUGACAACUAGCCGGUUUUCUCAUAAGAGUCAAUACUAAUAUUUUCGGAAUUCAUUUAAAUUUGAGAGUGUCAACUGUGUUUUUAUAGUUUGGAGAAAAUGCCUAAAUUUUGUGCUGUUGUGGGUUGCGUGAAUCGAAGCACCAGAAAUAUGGACAAAUUUAUUUUCCUUUCGCAGCAAUUAGCAACAAUAAAGGUAAAUAUAUCCAGGAUGGGGAAAAGGGUGGAAGCUUUGGUUAAAAGCCUUGAAACGAGUGGAUUUAACGAAGCCAAAGUAAAGUAUUCCUAUGUUUGUUCGGAUCAUUUUAUUUGAGGUACAGUACCUACUUAUUAGAUUUACAGUUUCUAACAAAUUACUACAUUGGUGCUCUUUUAGGUAAACCUGCAGAUUUAUCAGAUGUGGACCAUCCUGAUUAUGUUCCAUCACAAAAUUUAGGAUAUCAAAAUAAAUCCACUCAUAAUACUUGUAAUGUUGAAAGGCACAGUUGUUUAAAAAAGAGAAAACUGAAUAAAUGUCUCUAGACUUUUGAA